GGUAUCAAGAAUAAAGGGGUUGCUUUUACAUAUUCUACUUGGUGUAUGUAAGAAGGGGUUCUCUCUUCUUUAUGAUACUUCCACGAAGGGCAAAAGACUGCAAACAAACAGAUACAGAUACUACUGGCACCAACAACAAAAAACAUGGCAGACUUGACUUUUCUACGACUAUGAGAAAGGCUAUGCAGACCCUAGGCCAAUCAUGAGAAAAAAAAUGCUGGCAAGUUGAAAAUUGAAAUUUUUUGUUCAGUGAAG
rnacentral:sRNA from 1 species